AGGGGUGAAGUGUUAUGGUAGCACGGCGGAUUCCAAAUCCGCAAGCGAGGGUUCAACUCCUUCCACCUUUGCCA
rnacentral:tRNA from 1 species